rnacentral:misc_RNA from 1 species
AGCAGUUUCAGAAUAAUUAAAAUUAAUAUAUAUAUUUUAGCCACUCAGGGCCAUAAUGAAACCGACGGCUCUGUCCGGUCGCAACGCAGGAAUGAAGGUAGUUGCAUGCUUGGUUUGGAACUUUCUUCUACUUGCACAGCUUUUUAGGCCUCACGUGUCGACUCCAAAAACUUGUUCUUCUUAUUUUUCUAAAUUUUUUAACCAACUCACCACGAUUCUUGCUUGAUACUGGGUGUUUCUUCAGUUUCUUCUCUCAAUUUCGAUCCCAUCUUCCACUUUGCAUGCACAGUUUCUACUGUAAAUUCCAGGUUCUUCUUUCCUUUUCAGCUCCCGUAGUAACGAAGCUUUUUUGCUUAUUUUACCUUUUAUUUCCUUUUCUUGAUGCUUAUCUGCUGGUAUGCGGGGACCCUAAUCCUCUAGUUGGACCUGCUUGUUUUUAUACCAUCUUAGGUCAUGUUAUUUACUCUGUUUUGUUAGAAUUCUUUACUGGAAUAGCAUUUUUCUUAGUGGGUUAUUGUUCAAAUCAUAGUUCCAAAUUUUGCAUUUUCUUGGUGGUGGUUCAAUUAUUGUUCAUGAAGUUCUUGUAAUUCUUCUCAGAAUUCAUUACUGAAUCUGGGAUUUUUAGCUCUUUUAAGGGGAAUGGCUUUCAGGGCCGUUCACUCUUGGACUUUGGGUGGCCUUAUAGCGGCAUUCAUUGACCUUGCUAUUGCUUAUACUCUGCUAUGUGUGUCAGCUCUUGCAUUUGUCCCAUCAAAGUUCUUGAGUUUCUUUGGACUUUAUCUGCCAUGUCCCUGUAGUGGGUUUUUUGGGUACCAAAAUGAUGAUUUAUGCUUGCACAGACUGCUUAUUGAUUGGCCAAUAAGAAAGAUUAAUGCUGUUCAGGAGUUGGCGAAGAAUAGGUUUCCUUUGAAUUUGAUUUGGUUUGGGCAUGAAUCCUGCAAUUUCCAUGUGGAAGGGGUUGGAAAUAGAAAAUGUGGAAAUGGGAUUUUUGAAUUGGAGGGAGAAACAUGUUGUCGUUCACUUUCGGGUCCAAGAUUUCAGAGUCAUGUUGAUAGGAAAAGUAGGUAUGUUGCUGAGGGGAAGAAGAUUAUGAACCAGAAACAGAAAUCUGGGAUCCAGUGGCGCAGAAGAGCUGCUGUUGGAUAUGGAAAACGUGAAAUUGACGAAAUCUUGGAUACUGACAGUGGAAUAGAAGAUGGUUUCCUCGGUUAUCGAGAUGUUCCAAAUGGCACUGAUUUCAGUGAAAGACUAAGCCAUCGGUUUGAAUUGGAUGGAUCCAAUGGGAAGGGUAAAGGCAUCAACCGGGAUCAAUUAUCUGUUGAAAAUUUUACCUGUGAUGUUGAAGACAGUGCUGGAAAUGAUGCAAAUGUUAUCCUUGUGUUGGAACAAGCACUUGAAGAAGAGAAAGCCACCCAUGCAGCUCUUUUCCAAGAGUUGGAGAAAGAGAGGGCUGCUGCUGCAACUGCUGUUGAUGAAGUCAUGGCAAUGAUAUUGCGGCUGCAAGAGGAUAAGGCAUCAAUUGAAAUGGAAGCGAGGCAGUAUCAACGGGUGAUAGAAGAAAAAUGUGCUUAUGAUGAAGAAAAGAUGAACAUUCUGAAAGAGAUCCUUGUUAGGAGGGAGAGGGAGAUUCAUUUUCUGGAGAAGGAGAUUGAGGCUUACGAGCAGAUGAACUUUAUGGGAAAUGAUCAGUUGGAAGGUGAUUCAAGCUUUAAGAUAGAUAAGAAAGAACAGACACCUUCAUUUUCCAUUGAUUCAAAUGAGAAUCCAGUACCAGUGCUGCAGCAGAUUGAGAAUAGUAAAUCCAUUGGUGAAAAGGAAGUGGCAACUAAUCCAAAAUGGCCUUCUAAUCAUGAACAUAUACAUACACUUGCUUUGGGGAAAGAAAUGAUGUCAAAGCACAUGGAGUUAACUUCUGACUUUUCUGCUUCAGAAGGAUUGGUGCAGAAAACUCUUAGUGUGGCAGGGAAAGAAAAAACAGAAAGGGAUAUCAGCGUGAUAUCACCAGGAAUGAAGGCACCCCAAACUUGUGGCAGCAGUGGAGAAGAGCUAGAGAAAGAGUGGAAUCAAGCAGGCUGCAACAUGCAUAGUUCAAUGCUUGACACGGAAUCAACUGUUUAUGACGUACAUGUCAUUGAUGAUAAAACUUUACAUGGAAAGGAGAAUGGUGGAAAAGAAAGCGGACCAUUGAGUGCUACCACUUCAGAUUCUGGGGUUCAGAAUGGUAUAUUUUUUAGAGAUUGUCCUACUAUGAGCAUGGCAGAAAUUGAGCCUAAACUUCAUGGAAACUCUUCCAAUAAGUGUAGAAACUCGCUAUUUUUGGGUAGUUCACUGCACAAAACUCUUAGUAUUGACUUGCGGAUGCAUUAUUCAUCUGCUGUUGAUGGUGAAAGGUUGAAAAUUGACAAUGAGGUUGAUUGGCUUAGAGAAAGGCUUCGAAUAGUGCAAGAAGAAAAAGAGAAGUUGACUUUCUCUACAGAGCACAGGGAAAGGGUAAAUGCUCUAUUGAGACUUGUGGAAGAUAUAGUGAACCAGCUUCGAGAGAUUCAGCUUCUGCGAGAACCUGUGUGGCAGGCUUCUUUACCUCCAUCAUCUUCUAAGGUGUGUUACUAGAGUUUUACUCUACUGCUAUUUGUGGUUUUUUCACCUCUUUCUCAUCAUUUCUGACAUCCUGAUAUUAUAGUUUCUGGUUCGUUCUCAUAUGACAAGGACACUGAUAUGAGUGCUGGUUUUAAUUUCUAAACGACUCAUCCCAGGAAAAAAAAACAAUGUGACGUCACAGGUGACAGAUGUAGAAUUUAGACUUUACGAGGAAAGGCAUAUAUGCUUCCAGAAAACGAAAGCAAACUUUAUUUGAUUCUUAUGAAAUUAGCCUAAU